rnacentral:rRNA from 1 species
UACGUAGGGCGCGAGCGUUGUCCGGAAUCAUUGGGCGUAAAGAGCUCGUAGGCGGCUUGUUGCGUCUGCUGUGAAAUCCCGGGGCUUAACCCCGGGCGUGCAGUGGAUACGGGCAGGCUGGAGGCAGGCAGGGGAGAAUGGAAUUCCCGGUGUAGCGGUGAAAUGCGCAGAUAUCGGGAGGAACACCGGUGGCGAAGGCGGUUCUCUGGGCCUGUUCUGACGCUGAGGAGCGAAAGCGUGGGGAGCGAACAGG